CAGAACCUGUAACUGCCCCAUUCUCUGGACUCCCUCACACAGAAGAGGCUGGAGUGUGACUCAGAUUUCCUUCUAUUGACAUUUUCCUGACUUCUGGGAAAGAUGGAGGAAGAAACAUGAAGACCCAGCAGAAUUAAUACUGAACUUCGAGGCUGAUGUCACUGGCAGAAGUUGUUCUUUUUUAUCAUGAUAGACAAGAACUGAGAGGUGGCCCUGCCAUCACAGGGACGCGUUCCAAGACUAGCUGGAUUCACCUGACCAGGUGCUAUCAGCAUCCAGUCCUGUGUUGUGCUGUAGUAUUGCCUCAACCCCAGCAAGCCUUGGCAGAACAGGACUGUGAGGCUUCAGAAACAUCCCCCCUUGACCUCUCUGCUCUGUUAUAAGUAAUGGCACCUGGAGGAAGCUGUGCAUCCCUCUGAAAAUCCUCGGUGGUGGGCUCUGGAGUGGAACUUCAGCCCCAGAAAAGUCAACUGUACAGCUCGACUGGAGAGUCCCACCUGUCCCAGAGGAAUGCAAGCUCCUGGAGCUGUCCCCCUCUGCCCACAGCAGCUGGCCAACAGAUUGGUGAACACCUUGAAGCUGGCUAUUGAUGAAUGACAAAGUAUCUAU